rnacentral:tRNA from 1 species
GUCUCUAUAGCUCAGUCAGUAAAGCAUGAGACCCUUAAUCUCAAGUUUGUGGGUUUGAGCCCCAGGUUGGGCA